rnacentral:rRNA from 1 species
CAGGCGCGAAAACUUUACAAUGCUGGCAACAGCGAUAAGGGAACCUCGAGUGCCAGGUUACAAAUCUGGCUGUCGAGAUGCCUAAAAAGCAUUUCAUAGCAAGGGCCGGGCAAGACCGGUGCCAGCCGCCGCGGUAACACCGGCGGCUCGAGUGGUAACCGUUAUUAUUGGGUCUAAAGGGUCUGUAGCCGGCCGGAUAAGUCUCUUGAGAAAUCUGGCAGCUUAACUGUCAGGCUUUCAGGAGAUACUGUCUGGCUCGAGGCCGGGAGAGGUGAGAGGUACUUCAGGGGUAGGGGUGAAAUCUUGUAAUCCUUGAAGGACCACCAGUGGCGAAGGCGUCUCACCAGAACGGACCUGACGGCAAGGGACGAAAGCUAGGGGCACGAACCG